CCCCUCUCCAUCCCAUCCCACACCACCCUCUGUGCCUCUUGGUCCAGCAGGAUUUAUUGUGCAGCAUUGUUCAGAACUGCAGCCACCCCGGCUGUGGCAUCAGGGGCUGCUGCCAUCCACAGGGGAAAAAUAUCCAUGGGGGAAAAAACGGGAUCUGCUCAGGUACGGGGAGUGCCCCAUUCCCAGGUGGAUCCGUGAGGGAUCUUCUUCCAGCAGGGAAAGCUCCAGCAGGACACUGAGCACCUCCUGGCCUUCAGGUGAGAUCUGCUCUCUCUCCAUGUCAGAAAUAACUUCUCUAGUGAGGGGACAAGGGGGAAACUGAGAGAGAAGUGCUGUAGGUGUGAUAUUGGGAAGGAAUUCCUCCCUGGCACAGGGUGCCCAGAGAAACUGUGGCUGUCCCUGGAUCCCUGGAAGUGUCCAAGGCCAGGCUGCAGCUCCCUGGGAUAGUGGAAGGCGUCAGGGGUGAUGUGGGAUGGUUUUUAAAGCCCCUUCCAAGCCAAACCCUUCAGUGAUUCCAUAUUUCUGUGGAUGGAGCUCUCCACAGGCACAAGGACAGCCCCAGCCUGCCCCACACACUGCACCCUGGAAUAACCUGUCCCCCACUCCUGGGCUGAGGCUGAAGUAACAAAACUCAGCUGCUCAGACGAGCCAAACCCCACAUUUGCUGUAACUUUGAAUAUUUUUCUCCCUCUCUUUCUCCCUCUUUCCUUGCUCCAGAGCCGAGAGCAUUCCUGCCUCGGGAACAUCCCAGCUCCGAGGCUGGAGGAUGGGCAAGGAAAGGGUCAGGACACAUCCCCCCGACUGAGAGCUGAAGAAAAAUGUUGGCACAGCAAAGCUUGCCACAGGAAGAAAAGGUUGUCCUGGCUGUUCAUAUUCCUCCACACGGGGUCCCAUCGGCUUUUUCCCCCUUCGAAAACUCCAUUCCCUGUGCCAGCAGCACAUUAAGACAUCGCAGCUUUCCCUCUCCAGCUUUCCCUGGUUCACAAUUCCCAUUUUUUGAGCUCGAGUCCUGGCUGAGGCUGUGUGGAGCUCUGGUACCAUCUACUGGGGGAAGCCUCAGCUGCUGGAUGUGGCUUUUCCUCGCUGAUGUCGCGACAGAAGUGGUGACAGCAGGACUGGGAAGAGAACAACCCAAAAUCACCCAGACCUGGGGGUACUGGUGACAGCAGCUGAACAUGAGCCAGCAAAGUUCUUCUGGUGGCCAAGAAGGACGAUGUCCCUAGCCUGGAUCAGGAAUGGUGUGGCCAGCAGGAGCAGGGAGCUCAUUCUUGCCCUGUACUCAGCACUGGUGAGGUCACACCUCGAGUGCUGUGUCCAGUCCUGGUCCCUCAGUUUGGGAAGGACAUGGAGAGCCUGUCCACAGGGCAAUGAGGCUGGUGAAGGGCUGGGUGUCACCCUGAGAAUCAGACAUUUAGAUAUUGUUUUCAUAAUUUCUAGCUACUUUCCCAGGAAAGUAACUGUAAACACAGGUGUUUAUACAUUCCAUUAAAGAUGUACCUUUUGAUGGAUGUCUCUCACUGCCAGUGUGGUUGGGAAGGUGGUAAGCUGACUAUCUGGUCAGGUUGUCGAAAACCUAUAAAUACUGAAAGAACAAAUAAGCUUCCUUCUUCUUUCAUCUCACUUUGAUCUGUGUGAAUGAUUUUGUGUCCGACAGUGACAGCUGGGAACACAAACGCUGUGAGGAAGGGCUGAGGGAGCUGGGGUUGUUCAGCCUGGAGAAAAGGAGACUCAGAGGUGACCUGGGCACUCUCCACAAGUCCCUGAAGGGUGGUUUCAGCUCUGACUGAACCACAGGACACAGACUCAAGCUGAGCCAAGGGAAAUUUACCUUGGAUAUAUUAGGAAAAGUUUUUUUAGGGAAAGGGUGAUGAAGUACUGGAAUUGUCUGCCCGGGGAGAUGGUGGAGUCACCAUCCCUGGAUGUGUUAAAGAAACAGCUUGAGGUGUUUGGGCUGCGUUGGACUCGAUGAUCUCCAAGGUCUCUUCCAACCUGGUGAUUCUGUGUGAACAAAACUGCCCAAAGUACUCGAGGUGUGGCAACCCCAGUGGUGUGGGGGUCUUCACUAAUGAAAAAUGUAACUAAUAAUUUGGGAGAACCAAUCAGGUCCUGCCAGAAUGGGUGUCUCAAUAAUUAGACAUGUUGCUCUUAUGUGGCAACUAAAUGUGAGAGUCCAUUAGGUGCUGGUAGAAAGGGUGUGGGGGUCUCGGUAAUUCCGUUCGAAAUGGGUGUUAAAGUUAUUACUAAAGCCUGAAUUGAAAAGAAGCAAUAAAGUUCGGGGAGGGGGGGGAAUGCCUGUGGAG
ensembl:lncRNA